rnacentral:rRNA from 1 species
GAUGAACGCUGGCGGCGUGCCUAAUACAUGCAAGUCGAGCGAACAGACGAGGAGCCUGCUCCUCUGACGUUAGCGGCGGACGGGUGAGUAACACGUGGAUAACCUACCUAUAAGACUGGGAUAACUUCGGGAAACCGGAGCUAAUACCGGAUAAUAUAUUGAACCGCAUGGUUCAAUAGUGAAAGACGGUUUUGCUGUCACUUAUAGAUGGAUCCGCGCCGCAUUAGCUAGUUGGUAAGGUAACGGCUUACCAAGGCGACGAUGCGUAGCCGACCUGAGAGGGUGAUCGGCCACACUGGAACUGAGACACGGUCCAGACGCCUACGGGAGGCAGCAGUAGGGAAUCUUCCGCAAUGGGCGAAAGCCUGACGGAGCAACGCCGCGUGAGUGAUGAAGGUCUUCGGAUCGUAAAACUCUGUUAUUAGGGAAGAACAAAUGUGUAAGUAACUAUGCACGUCUUGACGGUACCUAAUCAGAAAGCCACGGCUAACUACGU